rfam:Strongylocentrotus purpuratus Contig94470_fixed, whole genome shotgun sequence.
CAAAAGGCUCUUUUAAGAGCCAACACAACUUCAAGAAAGAUUUAA